UGCCGUUGUUUCACCUGCUUG
rnacentral:piRNA from 1 species